rnacentral:pre_miRNA from 1 species
UGCAUACUCCCUCCGUCUUAAAAUUCUUGUCAUAGCUAGGUUUUUUUAAAUAUAAAUGUAUCUAGUCACGCUUUAGUAUUUAGAUACAUCUAUUUCUAAACAAACUCAAGACAAGAAUUUUAAGACGGAGAGAGUACAAC